GGGGAUGAAAUUGGAAUCGAUGGCAGAGGUAAUUUUAAAAGGGCAGGCCGAGCUCCUCGAAGCUCGUUAAAAUUUCGAGGAAACAAAAAAUGCCAACUUAAUGGCAGCUCCUGCAUUGGUUUAAUUUACCAAUGCCGCCAAGAUCAGUAAUCCCUGCUAGCUGAUCUUUGGUGUCAUAAUCUGCAGGGAACAGCUCUUUAAAAUAAGGGGAAGAAUCUAGUCUGGGGAUUCUCCCCUAUCUCACCUCCUUUCAAUCCAGACUAAGCCUGUGAAAAAACCCUUUUAAAAACCUCUGCCAGACGCGAGUUCGAGUCUCGCCAUCUCCACAA
rnacentral:tmRNA from 1 species